UGGGGAAUAUUGGGCAAUGGAGGCAACUCUGACCCAGCCAUGCCGCGUGGGUGACGAAGGUCUUCGGAUUGUAAAGCCCUUUCGGCGGGGACGAUGAUGACGGUACCCGCAGAAGAAGCCCCGGCUAACUUCGUGCCAGCAGCCGCGGUAAUACGAAGGGGGCUAGCGUUGUUCGGAAUUACUGGGCGUAAAGGGCGUGUAGGCGGCCCGCUAAGUCAGGUGUGAAAGGCCUGGGCUCAACCCAGGAAAUGCGCCUGAGACUGACGGGCUUGAAUCCGGGAGAGGAUGGUGGAACUCCCAGUGUAGAGGUGAAAUUCGUAGAUAUUGGGAAGAACACCCGUGGCGAAGGCGGCCAUCUGGACCGGUAUUGACGCUAAGGCGCGACAGCGUGGGGAGCAAA
rnacentral:rRNA from 1 species